rnacentral:tRNA from 2 species
GGCUCGGUAGUUCAGUUGGUUAGAACGCCGGCCUGUCACGCCGGAGGUCGAGGGUUCAAGUCCCUUCCGAGUCG